rnacentral:tRNA from 1 species
CGAAAUAGCUCAAUUGGUAGAGCAACUGACUUGUAAUCAGUAGGUUGUGGGUUCGAUUCCUAUUUUCGGC